rnacentral:ribozyme from 1 species
UAAAGAAAGAAAAAAGAAAGAGAAAGCAAGAGUUAAAAUUGCGAACAAGAGAAAGAGAUUUUUCGAAGAAUAUAAUCUUUAUUUUUUUUCGUCGUCGUUUCUCAUUCCUGUUCUCCUUCUGCGAAAUGCGAGCAUCUCAAGCAUCGAUGAGGCAAUGAAUGCAAUCAAUGAAUGAAUCAAUGGAUGAAUCAAUCAAUGAAUCAAUCACU